rnacentral:rRNA from 1 species
ACGGAGGGUGCAAGCGUUAUCCGGAAUCAUUGGGUGUAAAGGAUGCGCAGGCGGAGAGAAAAGUCAGGGGUGAAAGACUACGGCUCAACUGGAGAACUGCAACUGAAACUGCAUAACUUGAGUACUGAUGAGGUAAGCGGAAUUUGCCAUGUAGCGGUGAAGUGCUUAGAUAUGACACAGAACACCGAUGGCGAAGGCAGCUCACCAAGCAGAUACUGACGCUCAUGCACGAAAGUGUGGGGAGCAAACAG